UCAGAACCAAAUUUUGUGAAAAUAUUGCCCCUGACUCCACUGAGCCAUGAGGCAAAGGGUAACUGAUGCUGCCCCAGCUCCAACAGUGCGUCUGAUCUCUUAAAAGCUGCAGAUGUAGUCAAGGAGAAUAAUGACAAAGGAAGCGCCUCUUAUGGAGCAGAGGCAAGACCCAUGGAGAAAAUGGACUGGAGAAUAACAUCCUGGAAGUAGAACUAGAGUCAAAUCCAGGAGCACUUCCUCAUCACAGAGUAAGAGACCUUUGCAGCAUUUGGCCCGGGAUGUCAGCUUUGCUGUUGGUUUCCCACCUUCUUUGCUACCAUACUGAUAACUGGAGGCAAGACUGAUUUGUGUUGAUGUGAUGAAGAGAAAGAAAGGUGACCUAAUUAGUGUGCAGAACAGACUGGGCCGGGAAGCCAAAUCAUGGAUGGCAGAGCAGCCUGCUGGCUCCCUGAGACACAUGUGAAGGAUAAACAGACCGAUUUCCCCUCAUGCAGUGAUUUCUGUGAAGAAAGCACUCUUCAGCAUCCAGUAUAAUGAGUAGGAUGAAGAUAUUAAGAACAAAAUAAACAAAAAGCAGUAAGUGGGACCAUUGUGGGGAAGGAGGCAGGAGGAGCAGUUUUUGGUAUUGGUCACCCAGGAGUCCGAUAUGAAAUUUCUGGAAAAUGGUCUCCAAAGCUGGGAAUUUGCAUCGCUAAUUUAUAGACCUCUUGAGGGAAUGGGCUGUGUGACUUGGGUGAGUAACAGAUAAGCAACAUGUUAAAACAUAGCAAGAAGACUGGGUCCACAGUCAUUAAAUCAGCAUGUUUAAGAAUAAUUUUUGUUUUAUAAAUUCCUGGAGAAAGAACCCUGGCAACGUUUCCAAGUCAAAAAAGGUCAUUUAGCUGAAGCUCAACUGAAAGAAAAAAAUUAAAGCAUCUUUAUCAGUAGUGUGAAAAAAUGUGUGCUCGAUGAAAAUAAAGCUUGGGAAGUUCAUAACUCUGUUAGAAUUCUUUCAUUUCCAUCCCCCUGGAGCAUUUGUUCAAUUCUGAAAAGAUUUAACAGAGGGCAAGCAUCCAAGAUGUGACUUGGACAUUUGAAAACUAGAUAGUCAGAGCUCUUUAAAACUCCAUGGACACCUUGGACCCAGUUUUGGAACUAAGACCACCUCAAAAGUUGAGAGAUCACCUGAAGAUCAUUCUUGAAUGCACGGUGCUAAAGAAUUGGAUAUGCCCUAAACAUACUAUUUAAUUACCUUCCCAGCACUCUGCAGAAAGGAUGCAGGAGCAGAAUGCUCUUCCGAACUUUACUGACAGGCCAAGGAACACAACAUGGUGACAUAACUUAAUGCCGUGUCCCACACUGCUGUCCUGCCAGGAUAUACUUCCCCUGUCUUUCUAGUCUCGAAUGGCUCUACUAAGUGAAACUAGUGCUCCGUGCAUUGACUUCUGCUGGCAGGAGGAGUUUUCCAGACCAGGCCAAACCUGGUACUUUGGAGGACCCCGUAAAGAGGCCUCACCAGCUGGGUGAUCAAAUGGUAUUGACGUGACCCUGCCUCCACUCUGCCCUGAGAUGUGACUCUUCUACCCCUGAAAGUUUCCUUAUUCUCACAUGGAUGCAACAUUCACCCCUUUUCUGCUUCUUCCUCAAUAACUCCUGAGUUCUAGUUAAGCCUCAGUGAAAGCUGGUGUAUUCUCACUGACUUUUUUUUUCAUUAAAAACAAUGACAUUUGUUUAUAACAGCUAAUACCGCCAUCUGAGAAGGAUGAGCAUCUGAGAAAGAUGCUCACUGAAAAUGAUCUUAAACUUGUGUAAGUGAUUAUGUAACAUACAUCUUUAGACCAAAUUGUCCUUACAGAUGAGGUGGUGAUGCUGGAAACUCGUCUGUUUUUGCCAAAGUGACUCAAGAACACUGUAUAUGGUUUCUAAACUCCCUCAUCUUUCUUCUGUGUGUGUGUGCAUGUGUGCAUAUAUGUGUGUAUAGGGCAAAGAGAAAAAUAUAUAUAAAUCCUAUGGUGAGUAAGAAUGUUUCCAUGACACAUAAUACAGAAUACAAAAGUUUUAUAAUUUGUAGUUAAU